GACGAACGCUGGCGGCGUGCCUAACACAUGCAAGUCGAGCGGGGAUUUAAGUGGAAGUUCUUCGGAAUGGAGAUUUAAAUUCUAGCGGCGGACGGGUGAGUAACGCUUGAACAAUCUGUCACGGACAGGGGGAUAACACUUGGAAACAGGUGCUAAUACCGCAUAAGACCACGGCCUCGCAUGGGGCUGAGGUAAAAGGAGCAAUCCGGUUCGGGGUGAGUUCGCGUCCGAUUAGCUAGUUGGUGAGGUAACGGCCCACCAAGGCGACGAUCGGUAGCCGGCCUGAGAGGAUGAACGGCCACAUGGGAACGGAGAGACGAUCCAAACACCUACGGGAGGCAGCAGUGGGGAAUAUUGGGCAAUGGGCGAAAGACUGACCCAGCAACGCCGCGUGAGGGAAGAAGGUUUUCGGAUUGUAAACCUCUGUCCUAUGGGACGAAGGAAGUGACGGUACCAGAGGAGGAAGCCCCGGCUAACUACGUG
rnacentral:rRNA from 1 species